GGUCGGUUGGCGCAAUGGUAGCGCGUGGCCCUCCUAAGGCCAAGGCUGCGGGUUCGAGUCCCGUGCUGAUCG
rfam:Setosphaeria turcica Et28A unplaced genomic scaffold SETTTscaffold_11, whole genome shotgun sequence.